rnacentral:rRNA from 1 species
AUGCACUGGUUUUCUUGGUGGAAACUAUGCUGCCCUAAAAGUGAUGGAGGGAUGGGGUUUAGAGACCUACACUCUUUCAACUUGGCAAUGUUGUCAAAGCAAUGUUGGCGACUGAUCACUCAACCGGAUUCUUUGUGUGCUAGAAUUUUGAAAGAUAAAUACUUCCCAAAUUGUACCCUUCUUCAGGCCACUUUGAAAAGUGGUUCAUCUUUUACCUGGCAGAGCAUCAUGAAGGUCCUAGAGACUUUCAAGUUGGGACAUAUCUGGAGAAUUGGAACGGGCGAAAAUGUAAACAUUUGGACUGACCCAUGGAUCCCCGCUAGUCCAGAUAGGAAGGUGAUAUCUAUACGAGGUCAAUCCAUUCUUACUACUGUUGCGGAGCUCAUUGAUCCAAUUUCGGGCACCUGGGAUGAAGAUUUAAUCCGUUCAAAUCUUAGUCUGGUUGAUGUUAGCAGAAUCCUGCAAAUAUCAUUGAACACCAACAGUUUUCAAGACUUUAUUGCAUGGCAACCAGAUCGGCGAGGGAUUUUUUCGGUUCGGACAACAUACAAAGUUCGGUGGAAUCGAUCUUUCCGGCCCAAUGCAACUGCCCUGGCGCAGCCAGGCAGAUCGUGCCCUCCAGCAGUAUGGAGUACUUUAUGGAAGAUAACGAUGUUGGAAAUAUGCCCUAGAGGCAAUAAUAAAAGGAUUAUUAUUAUAUUUCCUUAUUCAUGA